GAAGGCUGGCGAACGGACGGGCGUCUCGCCAACCCGGUCAGGUCCGGAAGGAAGCAGCCGUAAAGAGUUUUUGUCCCGGGUUGUUUGUCCAGUCUUCCAC
rnacentral:SRP_RNA from 1 species